rnacentral:rRNA from 1 species
GUACACAAAAAUGCACAUAUUGUGAGCUCGAUGAGUAGGGCGGGACACGUGGUAUCCUGUCUGAAUAUGGGGGGACCAUCCUCCAAGGCUAAAUACUCCUGACUGACCGAUAGUGAACCAGUACCGUGAGGGAAAGGCGAAAAGAACCCCGGCGAGGGGAGUGAAAAAGAACCUGAAACCGUGUACGUACAAGCAGUGGGAGCCUCUUAAUGGGGUGACUGCGUACCUUUUGUAUAAUGGGUCAGCGACUUAUAUUCUGUAGCAAGGUUAACCGAAUAGGGGAGCCGAAGGGAAACCGAGUCUUAACUGGGCGUUAAGUUGCAGGGUAUAGACCCGAAACCCGGUGAUCUAGCCAUGGGCAGGUUGAAGGUUGGGUAACACUAACUGGAGGACCGAACCGACUAAUGUUGAAAAAUUAGCGGAUGACUUGUGGCUGGGGGUGAAAGGCCAAUCAAACCGGGAGAUAGCUGGUUCUCCCCGAAAGCUAUUUAGGUAGCGCCUCGUGAAUUCAUCUCCGGGGGUAGAGCACUGUUUCGGCAAGGGGGUCAUCCCGACUUACCAACCCGAUGCAAACUGCGAAUACCGGAGAAUGUUAUCACGGGAGACACACGGCGGGUGCUAACGUCCGUCGUGAAGAGGGAAACAACCCAGACCGCCAGCUAAGGUCCCAAAGUCAUGGUUAAGUGGGAAACGAUGUGGGAAGGCCCAGACAGCCAGGAUGUUGGCUUAGAAGCAGCCAUCAUUUAAAGAAAGCGUAAUAGCUCACUGGUCGAGUCGGCCUGCGCGGAAGAUGUAACGGGGCUAAACCAUGCACCGAAGCUGCGGCAGCGACACUAUGUGUUGUUGGGUAGGGGAGCGUUCUGUAAGCC